UCGGGCAGCGUGCACAGGUGCUGCAUGGCUGUCGUCAGCUCGUGCCGUGAGGUGUUGGGUUAAGUCCCGCAACGAGCGCAACCCUCGUCGCUAGUUACAUGUGUCUAGCGAGACUGCCAGGUUAACCCUGGAGGAAGGUGGGGAUGACGUCAAGUCAGCAUGGCCUUUAUGUCCAGGGCUACACACACGCUACAAUGGUCGGUACAAUGGGAUGCCGAGCCGCGAGGCGGAGCAAAUCCUCAAAGCCGGCCUCAGUUCGGAUUGGAGGCUGCAACUCGCCUCCAUGAAGUCGGAGUUGCUAGUAACCGCAGGUCAGCUAUACUGCGGUGAAUACGUUCCCGGGCCUU
rnacentral:rRNA from 1 species